GUUAUGCGUCCUAUCUUCCUCUUUAUAUUGAGACCUAUUUACUUGGGAAUCAAUAGGGUUUUGGGAGGGAUCUCGUGGUUGUAUGGGUUUAGAUACACUCUGAUGGUGCAAGGUAUACUUUGUUACUGGAGAGCGUUUCUAUACUUUGAGCGAUCAAGUUUGUGGGAAAAGUUUGUAGAGAAACAUGAGAGAAAUCACGAAAAAUCUUAUUUAAUCCCACUUUUGUGGACUAUGAAUGGGGUUUUCCUUAUCUUUAUCAUCCUUCUGGUUUUGGCUGCAACUCUUGCGGUAGAAGCCAAUAUGAGGAAAGUUUUUAAUAUUCAAGGACAGAUUGGAGUUAACUUUUAUUGUCUAGGUAAGAGUACCGGGGAAGUAUCAGUUUUAAGGUUAAUGGUUUAUAUAAGUGAUCCUGUUGCAGAUAAAUCGGUAGCUGAAAUGAAUGUUGCUUCAUGCUUUGUGUGUAGUUAUCUAAGCGUUGUUAGUCUUAUGAAACUUUGCUAUGUGGGGAAUGAUUUAGGGUUCAUAGAUGGGAUAGCUUCUGUAGCCUUAUCUAUAUUCACCCAUUAUUGUGAAGCCUAUCAUUGUAGAGUACUUGGGAUCUUCAUAUGUUGGGGUAUGAUAUUGCUAAAGAACAUUUUAUUCACCGCUUGCUGUCGACGUUAUCUGCAACAUGGUCACUUAUAUAAACCAUUAACCUUAAAAUUGAUACUUCCCCGGUACUCUUACCUAGACAAUAAAAGUUAACUCCAAUCUGUCCUUGAAUAUUAAAAACUUUCCUCAUAUUGGCUUCUCCCGCAAGAGUUGCAGCAAAAACCAGAAGGAUGAUAAAGAUAAGGAAAACCCCAUUCAUAGUCCACAAAAGUGGGAUUAAAUAAGAUUUUUCGUGAUUUCUCUCAUGUUUCUCUACAAACUUUUCCCACAAACUUGAUCUCUCAAAGUAUAGAAACGUUCUCCAGUAACAAAGUAUACCUUGCACCAUCAGAGUGUAUCUAAACCCAUACAACCACGAGAUCCCUCCCAAAACCCUAUUGAUACCCAAGUAAAUAGGUCUCAAUAUAAAGAGGAAGAUAGGACGCAUAA